rnacentral:rRNA from 1 species
UUUGGUAGUCAUAGCUUGUCUCAAAGAUUAAGCCAUGCAUGUCUAAGUAUUAGCAACUAUACAGUGAAACUGCGAAUGGCUCAUUAAAUCAGUUAUCGUUUAUUUGAUAGUACCUUACUACUUGGAUAACCGUGGUAAUUCUAGAGCUAAUACAUGCUAAAAAUCCCGACCUCUGGAAGGGAUGUAUUUAUUAGAUAAAAAACCAAUGCCUUCGGGCUCCUUGGUGAUUCAUAAUAACUUAACGAAUCGCAUGGCCUUGCGCCGGCGAUGGUUCAUUCAAAUUUCUGCCCUAUCAACUUUCGAUGGUAGGAUAGUGGCCUACCAUGGUUUCAACGGGUAACGGGGAAUUAGGGUUCGAUUCCGGAGAGGGAGCCUGAGAAACGGCUACCACAUCCAAGGAAGGCAGCAGGCGCGCAAAUUACCCAAUCCCAAUCCGGGGAGGUAGUGACAAUAAAUACUGAUACAGGGCUCUUUUGGGUCUUGUAAUUGGAAUGAGUACAAUUUAAAUCCCUUAACGAGGAACAAUUGGAGGGCAAGUCG